GGGAAAGUUGACUGAUAUCAGCUCGAGAGGAUACAAUGGCAGAUAGAGAUGACAGCUCCAACCGUUGGGCCUUGCAGUAAGGAACGUGUGAGUAAGCCCCAGUACCCGGAAAAAACCCAUGCACGCCACGGGGAGAGCAUGCCAACUCCUCUUCCAACAGAGACAUGAACCCAGAAUCUCUCGACUGUAAGGCCAACAUGCUAACCACUAGGCCAGCAUGUGUCUGAUCUUAAGUCAUUACUGGAACUACAACAGGGGAAUCUUACAAAAAGAAAAAAAAAAAAAACCUUCCAGCUGGGGCACCGUGGCUAAAUCGGCUGCUGCCUUUUUGUUGCUGUCAGAUGAAAAUGACACAUCUCCACUUUUUAACAUAAUUACAUCCUCUGUGUUCUCCUGUCCAAAGCAUGGAGCUAAAAAACCAACGGAAGCAUGUUUUAUGUUUUAUAAUGCCAUGUUCAUAACAAGCAUAUCCUCACGGACCCUUUUCACUUUGUAAUUGGAGUACAGCAGACUGCUGGUGCCAAGUGUCGGCAACCUUGGAUAAUGAAUGUAAUAUUUUCUGGAGAUGGCAGUCAAUAAACACAUUUUGCAGUCAACAAAGUGCAAAAAUGCUUUCUCAAAGAUGGAGAUUCAUUCAUUCAUCCCAGCACUCAUCCUGUUAAGGCUCACGGGUGAGCUGGAGCCCAUCCUAGCUGACUU